UGGGAUAGGGUUUUGCUUUUAUCUUUCUAGGAGAAUAGAAGGAUCCACCUUAGGAAUCUGGAGACCACCAGGCAAGUGAAACAUCUGAAGAAAAAGGACAAGCCAUCAAGACAAAAUGUCCCAAGAAAAAGAGUAAAUUGGCCAAGUGGUACUGCUGCCCCCUGCAGCCGGAAGUGGUACUGCUGCCCUCUGCAGAAAGUUGGCUUUGGGGGUUGGAAGAGUGGCUCUCUCCUUAUCUAAACCUACACGUGCUUGUUAAAGAGAAAUCCAAAAUUGUUGUCUCAUAUCAGAAGAACCACCUGGUGUGGGACAGAAGCAAAAAUAGAAAGACUAGUUUAUCGCCAGAAAUCUCACAAUCAUUUGGUUUUCAUUUGACUCUCCAAGCCUUUCUUAAGAUGGUGGUCCCACCAGUCCAACAAUGCUGUCUAUGCCAAUGGAAGGACCAAGGACCCAGUAGUUGUUCAGUUAAAGAACAACUUGGUGUUCAGCUGGUCUUCAGUGCACGUUGGGAUCCUGAAGAAGAAGGCUCUAAGGCCAGUGAAGGAAUGGACUUGCUAUCAGGGGCGAAAGCAAGAAGCAAAAGCUUCCUUCAUCCAUGUCUUCUACAUAGGCUGUCAGCAGAAGGUUAUGGCAUGAUUACAAAUAAACAUAGCACCAGCGGUCACACACAACCUUGGCAGGAAGUGGUGUUUUUCUUUCCCUGGGGACAGUACUGAGGAAAGACCCAGCCAGAUGACAUGGUGAGUAUGUAUUGACUUAUCCCCACAAAUCAUUUGCUUUCCCUCCCUGCCCCAGGGCUGUAGGUUAUGUGUUAGCCAGCCUUGUAUCAGUGAGCCACACUGCCAGACCCUACACUGUGAUUUUUCAAUGAUGAAAAUUAUUAUCUUUUUUUU
rnacentral:sRNA from 1 species